AUGAUUUCAGGAGUUCCCCCAAACACUUCAGUAAGGUGCAAAAUUAGGAACCCUAAUGAAGUGUUCAGGGGAACUCUAGGGAACAU
rnacentral:pre_miRNA from 1 species